CAUCCAUCCAGUCCUGAUUCAAGGCGCAGCGGAGUAACCGCGUUCAAUCCAUCCAGUCUAGAUGACUGGUGUGCGUUGCUCGAUUGGAUCCGUCGGAGGUGCGGGAUGGGACCGAGGCAAGCCGAUGCGUGCGAUCGAUCGACCGGAGGAGCGGAGCAGCCCUCGCGUGCCGGACGUCGCAAUGCGUGCGAUCCGACCUUCGCCGUGGCCUGCAGUGCGUUCAGGUGGUGGGGGGCAUGGAAUCCCAGGCGCCGACACGAGGCUGUGGCGCGAGCAUUGAAUCAUGCGCUGUCGAUUCGAGUUUCAUUUGUUGGUGAUUCCAUAAUUAAAUUGCAGUUUCUACACGCCAUUACUGGUAAUGGUAUGUGCCGCUCGAGUCCUCCAAUAAUUCAGAGCUAUGUCUUUACUGUACGCGCCUCCAUAUGAUCCGUUUUGCUGCUCUUUGUCAAUUCCCCUCCAGCCCUCCUGCAAAAUCUUCUCCCGCAACCAUGACUGUUCGUGGCCUGUCUGACAUACUUCCUACUACCUCUUCCUUUCCCCAAACUUGUGCAUAUCCAUGUUCUUAUUUAGACUACUCUUUUUGUUCCCAAAUGAUUGCAGGUUUUCUAGCUCGUUGGAGUUUGCUUGCGGUGGGCUUGCUCUUCGCUGGUUCUGCUUGAUUACAAGGUGAAGCACUACCCAGUGUUCUGUGAUACCGUUCCUUCAACCUUGCACGCCCCCACCCCUCGCAAUAGCAGGCGACACCUGGAGAUGGCGACGGCAGCAUUGCCAGCUGCACUCAUGCGCCUCUUCCCCCGUCAGACUGACUUUCGUCCUUGGUGACUCAUGGUGCGGCCUCUAUCUUUAUGAUUUUCUUUUUCCACCCGAUGAUUACAUUAUUUCCUCCCAAUCUAAAUUUUGUACAGUAAUUAUAAAUACUGGGAGGUUGUCAAUUGAUUUGACCAGAUACUGGAGAAUGGUAUCGAGUUUUUAUUCCAAAUUCUUCGGCCGAUAAUCUCUAAUGGCUUCCCAACAGGUUAAUUAGAACACUAUAGUAAAAUGCGAAAAAAAUUUGUAGCCGUACUGUUCUAGAGGAGGGGUGAAGCCUCAAUAUGGUCUGCUUCUAUCCACAAAUGAGCAAAGCUCAAUAAUCUUGCGGACAUUUCUACAUAUGUAUGUGGAUUUUCAAGACAGGUACAGGCAUUGCAUCAUUCCAAGCAUAAGGUGAGUUUCUUUCUAGAAUUCGAACAGAAUAUGAAUCAAGCUGCAAGGAACUUCACUCCAAGAGAUCUCAGAUCCAUGCCUAAAACUGAAACUUCUCAGUUCUUGACAAACUAAUAGUAUUUCACAAUGUGCUCACGUUUUUGUCGCCUUCCAUGUAGAUGCAGCCUUUCCCUUCUGGGAUGUUCAUGCGCAGCUUUUUCUAACUUACAGUAUUGAAUUUUCAUCCAGAUUAUCACCGAUGGAACCACCAGCUAAUAAAAUGGGGCAGAAAUGCGUCCUCUAUUUGCUCAUACCAUGCACACGAAUGGAUAAUGAAAUAAGUUAUUUACUCUUCAGUUACACAUAAAUCUAAAUAGUUCUCUUCUAUUUUCUCCCUACCAUGCACGAGAGAGUAGUUAUUUACUCUUCAGUUACACAUAGCAUCUAAAUAGUAGUAAUUGAUAUCCUAUAAAAACCUUAAUUUGGAUCCAUCAACUGAUAAUCAUGCAAUCAGUUAACCUCGCUGCUCACAUGCCAUCCCUCUAUUUAUAUACAUGUUUGUAGCUAAGUAGCAACUGACAUCUUAUAAAUAUCAUUAAUUUCCACUGGCCAUUAACAAUUCUGCAUCCAUUUAAACUGACUGCUACGUGCCAUCCCUCUGCUUACAUAGAACGUCUGUAGUAGAUAUUGGAACACUCAACAAUUCCUACUCGUAGGUACCACGCCUACACUCUCCUUAUGUAUUACGCUGGUGCUGUGAGGAAUCUGGCUGGAGCAAAACCAAUGCAUUUUCAAGGCAAAACAUGCACCGGCUGCUGACAUGGUGGCGGCGAGCCGACAAGCCGUCCAACUAUGGCGCCAAGCUGGAGCAAAGUGCUUAGAACUACCUUUUGUUGAGCUACCGGCAGGAAUCGACUAAUGUAACUUUUCAUUUUUUGGACCCUUUGAUCUUCGGAUCUACGCCAUGUGUUUGCUUUUCCCAUUGCUUCCUGCUUAAUAUAUGAAUGCCGGCAGCGCUGGAUCUUUCAAAAAAAAAACACUCUCCUUAUGUAUAUUUGUCUACUUUGCACUCAAACGUAGAUGAAUCAAUCUGGGGAUGAGUCUCAUCCAAGGAUGGCUUAAAGUAUAGAGCAUGCAUUAGAUGAUACGUUGAACCACGAUGAAUCUACUCACUCCUCCUCAAAGAUAUAUCAUGUGGUGACAAAACCUAUGCAAGAAACCUUCAAGCCACCGACCCUAAAGAUAAUGUUCAACUAAGCACGAGGCGUACAAGGAUCCUUCCACGUUCAAUUCCUUUCACAGAAUUAGACCCAAGUUCUUCACUUGGAAGUUAUUAUUAACCCAACAUAUGUUUUUGCUGCCACCUAAUUAUGAAACCAAAAUUUGUAUAUUGUCAGGAAAGAUUGGAAUUCUGUGAAAGGAAUUGGAUGUGUAAUGUUUUAGAUCAUAUAGUCCCAGUAUUAUUAAGCCAUCAUGUACUUGAAGUUAUUUGUGCCCUUAGAAUGCCGCGUUUAGCAAAUCUAAGAACAUGCCCUUCCUUCAGUUAUGUACUCAUAAGUAUUUGGCAGA